UACGGAGGAUGCAAGCGUUAUCCGGAAUGAUUGGGCGUAAAGCGUCCGCAGGUGGCAAUGUAAGUCUGCUGUCAAAGCGUCUGGCUCAACCAGAUAAAGGCAGUGGAAACUACAUAGCUAGAGUAAGGUAGGGGUAGAGGGAAUUCCUGGUGUAGCGGUGAAAUGCGUAGAGAUCAGGAAGAACACCGGUGGCGAAGGCGGCGACCUGGGUAGAUACUGACGCUGAGGCGCGAAAGCGUGGGGAGCAAACAGG
rnacentral:rRNA from 1 species